rnacentral:rRNA from 1 species
AGAGUUUGAUCAUGGCUCAGAUUGAACGCUGGCGGCAGGCCUAACACAUGCAAGUCGAACGGUAACAGGAAGCAGCUUGCUGCUUCGCUGACGAGUGGCGGACGGGUGAGUAAUGUCUGGGAAGCUGCCUGAUGGAGGGGGAUAACUACUGGAAACGGUAGCUAAUACCGCAUAAUGUCGCAAGACCAAAGAGGGGGACCUUCGGGCCUCUUGCCAUCGGAUGUGCCCAGAUGGGAUUAGCUUGUUGGUGGGGUAACGGCUCACCAAGGCGACGAUCCCUAGCUGGUCUGAGAGGAUGACCAGCCACACUGGAACUGAGACACGGUCCAGACUCCUACGGGAGGCAGCAGUGGGGAAUAUUGCACAAUGGGCGCAAGCCUGAUGCAGCCAUGCCGCGUGUAUGAAGAAGGCCUUCGGGUUGUAAAGUACUUUCAGCGGGGAGGAAGGGAGUAAAGUUAAUACCUUUGCUCAUUGACGUUACCCGCAGAAGAAGCACCGGCUAACUCCGUGCCAGCAGCCGCGGUAAUACGGAGGGUGCAAGCGUUAAUCGGAAUUACUGGGCGUAAAGCGCACGCAGGCGGUUUGUUAAGUCAGAUGUGAAAUCCCCGGGCUCAACCUGGGAACUGCAUCUGAUACUGGCAAGCUUGAGUCUCGUAGAGGGGGGUAGAAUUCCAGGUGUAGCGGUGAAAUGCGUAGAGAUCUGGAGGAAUACCGGUGGCGAAGGCGGCCCCCUGGACGAAGACUGACGCUCAGGUGCGAAAGCGUGGGGAGCAAACAGGAUUAGAUACCCUGGUAGUCCACGCCGUAAACGAUGUCGACUUGGAGGUUGUGCCCUUGAGGCGUGGCUUCCGGAGCUAACGCGUUAAGUCGACCGCCUGGGGAGUACGGCCGCAAGGUUAAAACUCAAAUGAAUUGACGGGGGCCCGCACAAGCGGUGGAGCAUGUGGUUUAAUUCGAUGCAACGCGAAGAACCUUACCUGGUCUUGACAUCCACGGAAGUUUUCAGAGAUGAGAAUGUGCCUUCGGGAACCGUGAGACAGGUGCUGCAUGGCUGUCGUCAGCUCGUGUUGUGAAAUGUUGGGUUAAGUCCCGCAACGAGCGCAACCCUUAUCCUUUGUUGCCAGCGGUCCGGCCGGGAACUCAAAGGAGACUGCCAGUGAUAAACUGGAGGAAGGUGGGGAUGACGUCAAGUCAUCAUGGCCCUUACGACCAGGGCUACACACGUGCUACAAUGGCGCAUACAAAGAGAAGCGACCUCGCGAGAGCAAGCGGACCUCAUAAAGUGCGUCGUAGUCCGGAUUGGAGUCUGCAACUCGACUCCAUGAAGUCGGAAUCGCUAGUAAUCGUGGAUCAGAAUGCCACGGUGAAUACGUUCCCGGGCCUUGUACACACCGCCCGUCACACCAUGGGAGUGGGUUGCAAAAGAAGUAGGUAGCUUAACCUUCGGGAGGGCGCUUACCACUUUGUGAUUCAUGACUGGGGUGAAGUCGUAACAAGGUAACCGUAGGGGGAACCUGCGGUUG